GCUUCCAAUGUUUUGAGCUGAAAAACAGUUCAGAUUAUAUGCUUCCAGCCGUGAAACUGCUUAUCGCAUUAGUCUUUUUCAUUGUAUUUUAGCGCUUCCGGUGAUUCCUUCUCUGUCAUCAUUGUGCUUUUCAGGUUUGAUUCCUUUUGUGACACAUUAAGUGGCCUCACAGGUUGGUUGCACGUUUCCCUCUAUUAUGUAAGUAGUAACCCAUAGUGCCGCUUUUUUCCUUGGUGCUAAUAGAAACAAAUUCUCAAACAUAGUACACAAGAAAUAUUCAAUGGCAGGAACACCAGUACGAUAUUAUGCAUAUAUAAUCAUGAACAUACUACAAUAUUUGUUUCCUCAGGUUUUGUGCCCAGUUCAAUCACCGCUCCUCAUAGUAGGGUUAACCGAAGAGUCUCUUAGGUUCUGGGCCUCUGGACUGUACAAAAACACCAUGAGAAAACAAAACACCAUGAGAAAACUCUGUUAGAGCCAGCACACCUGUAGACUGUGAACCCAAGUAGCAGAACAUGACAAUUUUUUGUGAAAUCGGUCACUCCAUCUAACCACACUGAUUAAUGUGUUUAUCCAAGAAUAGUAUUCAGUAGAAUAGCAGACAAGAAUGGUAAAUCUCGACAGAGAGGAGAGAAAUUGUGCAGUAAGGCAGCAAAGCGAAGCUGGGACUGAACCUGGAGACCAUAUCGGAUGACGCCGAUCUGCUCAACACCCUUGAACGGCUCCGGGAGCAGCGGGAACAGGUUUCGCCCUCGUGCCACCAGGUUUUGCCGUCCUGUUGCUGGUUGGCGAGCCGAUACUUCCCGUCGGCCUUGUUGGUAUCGGAAACGCUGGAGAAGAGCUACGCCGCAGGCAUGAAGUCCUUCCCGGUGACCAGGUAUCUGUCGGGGACUCGAACGUCCACCAUACGACCGUGUCGUCAGCGUGGAACAACACAAAGUUGUCGUCAUCUCGCAGGGCGCCCGCAACUCAGGCAGAUCUGAUUGGGCGACCAGGUGAAAGGAGGGGCGGCCACCCACUCGAGGGUGCGGUGCAGGGUGGCAAGGGAGCCGGCAGGGAGGCGUCAACGCGGUGCAUGGCCGUGAGGGAACCGUCUAGGGAGGCGAUGAUGCGAUGCAGGGAUCGAGGCCGCCGUGCAGGGAGGCGACGGGGCUGCUGAGCUUCGUCUGGGGCGGUGGCGAGGAAAGGCAGGGAGAGGGGCGAGGGAGACGAUUAGGUUUAGUUUCCUUUUAUUCAAAUUGAUUAGAUGGUUAGAUUAGCGUGAUUUGAGGGCCUGCGGAGGUGGGAUGGAGAGUUUCAUGUUUUCAUCUGGUGGAGUAUGGUCAGUCCAUGUAAACUGCUAAGCGCACACCAGAUCUCGAAUAAAUUAAUAAUGGCUGUUAGAUUGGGUCGUGUGGGCUUCAUCCUGUGGUGGUGAUGUGUCUGUGUACGUUUUGCGGGGUGUACGUAAGAAAGUUCUUGUUUGAUUGUUUAAUAGUAG